rnacentral:lncRNA from 1 species
CCUCCCAACUUCCUGCAACCAGACACACUGUCUUUGCACGCUCCUUUGGUGCUCUUGUGAGAUCCAUGCUCGCGUUUUAACUCCAACAUAAGUGGAUUUAGAUUGGUGCUCUUCUGAGAUCCAUGCUCAUGUUCAUACCCCAUUUUCAUUUACUUUUGGAGACAUAGGUUACACACAAGCCGUAGUGAUUUGGUGUGGCUGCCAAGAUCGCAUUACUCUUAAGGCAAAUUCUUUGUGUACUGCAGGCGACGUAGAAAAUCCGAUGUGGGGUGCAAUAUAUUAUCCAAUUGAUCCACAUAGUCUCCUUUUCAAUACGUAUUUAAUACCUACAGAUUAUUUUUUUUUGUUUAAAAAUUUUAUAUGAUAAAAAUACCUCUAUUCUUUGAUAAAAUUAUAUCAUUCUAUGUUCAUAUUAUGACAUCUUGCAUCCAAAAAAUCAUAAAUUUUAUUCACAAAAUAUUAUA